GUGAGGAAUAUUGGUCAAUGGGCGGGAGCCUGAACCAGCCAAGUCGCGUGAAGGAAGAAGGAUCUAUGGUUCGUAAACUUCUUUUGCAGGGGAAUAAAGUGCAGGACGUGUCCUGUUUUGUAUGUACCCUGAGAAUAAGGAUCGGCUAACUCCGUGCCAGCAGCCGCGGUAAUACGGAGGAUCCGAGCGUUAUCCGGAUUUAUUUGGUUUAAAGGGUGCGUAGGUGAUUUGAUAAGUCAGCGGUGAAAGUUUGCAGCUUAACUGUAAAAAUGCCGUUGAAACUGUCGGACUUGAGUGUAAAUGAGGUAGGCGGAAUGCGUGGUGUAGCGGUGAAAUGCAUAGAUAUCACGCAGAACUCCGAUUGCGAAGGCAGCUUACUAAGCUACAACUGACACUGAAGCACGAAAGCGUGGGGAUCAAACAGGAUUAGAAACCCUAGUAGUCC
rnacentral:rRNA from 1 species